GAUACGGAUCGCACGUCGAAAAACUCUUACUCUAAGCCUCAUAUUACCCUUUCAUGUACGCAACAACAUAAAAAAAAAAAAACGCCAACUCUGUCCCUGAAAAUUCCGACUUACCCUGGAGAUGGUGGCGAACCAGGUGAUUCCUUGGCAAUACCCCAACAACUCACUGCACACCUCCACUACGAAUUGAACCUCUUGUACAUUCAGGUUCAUCUAUCCGGAUAAAUCGUGAUGGGGAAGAGUCGGGAUGAGUUGGGACGUGACGAAGGUGUAAUGAACGUCGUAUUGGAUGACUUGCACGAGAGGAAUGGCCAACGCUGGUUGACCAUGUCAGUCGCCAUCAGGAUCUAUACCCUUGGAGAAUAUCCCUACGUAUAUAUUGAGUCACCGCAGGGCUAUACGUACCGCCAUUUUAUCAAAACGUGAUCCACCAGCGAAACACGAAAUUUCGUACGUGAACGCGCUGCAUAAGUGGUAGCCUACACCAUUUUAUCACAGGGAAAUUCCCAAAAAAAAAAUUGCAAUCUCGAUUCCUCACGAA